rnacentral:snRNA from 1 species
AUGCUUGCUUUGGCAGCACAAAUAUUAAAAUUGGAACAAUAUGAAGAAGGUUCAUGGGGGCCCCUGCACAAGGUUGUGAAAUCAUUAAGUGUUCCUUUUCUAAUUUUG